rnacentral:rRNA from 1 species
GAUGAACGCUGGCGGCGUGCCUAAUACAUGCAAGUCGAGCGAAUGGAUUAAGAGCUUGCUCUUAUGAAGUUAGCGGCGGACGGGUGAGUAACACGUGGGUAACCUGCCCAUAAGACUGGGAUAACUCCGGGAAACCGGGGCUAAUACCGGAUAACAUUUUGAACCGCAUGGUUCGAAAUUGAAAGGCGGCUUCGGCUGUCACUUAUGGAUGGACCCGCGUCGCAUUAGCUAGUUGGUGAGGUAACGGCUCACCAAGGCAACGAUGCGUAGCCGACCUGAAAGGGUGAUCGGCCACACUGGGACUGAGACACGGCCCGGACUCCUGCGGGAGGCAGCAGUAGGGAAUCUUCCGGAAUGGACGAAAGUCUGACGGAGCAACGCCGCGUGAGUGAUGAAGGCUUUCGGGUCGUAAAACUCUGUUGUUAGGGAAGAACAAGUGCUAGUUGAAUAAGCUGGCACCUUGACGGUACCUAACCAGAAAGCCACGGCUAACUACGUGCCAGCCGCCGCCGUAA